rnacentral:rRNA from 1 species
UACAGAGGGUGCAAGCGUUAAUCGGAAUUACUGGGCGUAAAGAGCACGUAGGCGGCUCUGCAAGUUAGAUGUGAAAGCCCUGGGCUCAACCUGGGACGUGCAUCUAAAACUGCAGAACUAGAGUAUGAUAGAGGUAAGUGGAAUUUCCGGUGUAGCGGUGAAAUGCGUAGAUAUCGGAAGGAACAUCAGUGGCGAAGGCGACUUACUGGAUUAAUACUGACGCUGAGGUGCGAAAGCGUGGGGAGCGAACAGG